GAUGAACGCUGGCGGCGUGCCUAAUACAUGCAAGUCGAGCGAACGGACGAGAAGCUUGCUUCUCUGAUGUUAGCGGCGGACGGGUGAGUAACACGUGGAUAACCUACCUAUAAGACUGGGAUAACUUCGGGAAACCGGAGCUAAUACCGGAUAAUAUUUUGAACCGCAUGGUUCAAAAGUGAAAGACGGUCUUGCUGUCACUUAUAGAUGGAUCCGCGCUGCAUUAGCUAGUUGGUAAGGUAACGGCUUACCAAGGCAACGAUGCAUAGCCGACCUGAGAGGGUGAUCGGCCACACUGGAACUGAGAAACGGUCCAGACUCCUACGGGAGGCAGCAGUAGGGAAUCUUUCGCAAUGGGCGAAAGCCUGACGGAGCAACGCCGCGGGAGUGAUGAAGGUCUUCGGAUCGUAAAACUCUUUUAUUAGGGAAGAACAUAUGUGUAAGUAACUGUGCACAUCUUGACGGUACCUAAUCAGAAAGCCACGGCUAACUACGUG
rnacentral:rRNA from 1 species